UACGUAGGGGGCAAGCGUUGUCCGGAAUCAUUGGGCGUAAAGCGCGUGUAGGCGGCUCGGUAAGUCUGCUGUGAAAGUCCAGGGCUCAACCCUGGGAUGCCGGUGGAUACUGUCGAACUCGAGUCCGGAAGAGGCGAGUGGAAUUCCUGGUGUAGCGGUGAAAUGCGCAGAUAUCAGGAGGAACACCAAUGGCGAAGGCAGCUCGCUGGGACGUGACUGACGCUGAGACGCGAAAGCGUGGGGAGCAAACAGG
rnacentral:rRNA from 1 species